rnacentral:rRNA from 1 species
CCUACGGGGGGCUGCAGUGGGGAAUAUUGGACAAUGGGGGGAACCCUGAUCCAGCCAUGCCGCGUGUGUGAAGAAGGCCCUCGGGUUGUAAAGCACUUUCAGUGAGGAAGAACGCCUGGUGGUUAAUACCCAUCAGGAAAGACAUCACUCACAGAAGAAGCACCGGCUAACUCCGUGCCAGCAGCCGCGGUAAUACGGAGGGUGCGAGCGUUAAUCGGAAUUACUGGGCGUAAAGCGCGCGUAGGUGGCUUGAUAAGCCGGUUGUGAAAGCCCCGGGCUCAACCUGGGAACGGCAUCCGGAACUGUCAAGCUAGAGUGCAGGAGAGGAAGGUAGAAUUCCCGGUGUAGCGGUGUAAUGCGUAGAGAUCGGGAGGAAUACCAGUGGCGAAGGCGGCCUUCUGGACUGACACUGACACUGAGGUGCGAAAGCGUGGGUAGCAAACAGGAUUAGAUACCCGUGUAGUC